rnacentral:snoRNA from 1 species
CCUCUCCCCUGAUGACCUGCACUGGGCGCUGACACUGUCUGGAGACACUGUGCGUCUUUGGCCCUGACAAGCCAGAGUUUCUGAGGAGAAA